CAACUCAGCAAGAACAUUCUCAUAUGCUCUAUAAACUUUCAUCUCUCUGUGUAAUCUUGAUCUUUAAUAUGGUAUCAGAGCCCCUAUCUAUUUCUUCCUGAUUGUGCAUCUUCUUUAAGGUACUGAGCUUCUACCAGCAGAUGUCUCUACUCCCAGUCUUUUCCUAUUUACUCAGUUCAAUGGAUUCGAGUAUUGCUCUUACCUUGAGGACAUUCAUAACUACUUCUGAUAUAUGGACUCAUCUCCGGAAAAUCUACUCAGGUUAAUUCAUCGCGAUUGUUUGAGGUCGAGUACGAGUUGGCUCGUCUUUCACAAGGUGAGCGUGAUGUUCAAAGCUUCUAUCUGCUUGCCGAAAUAUUUGGACAGAACAAGACCUACUGUCCACCGUCCCUUCUUUCUUCCACAGCUAGCAUCGAGAAACAAAAGGAACACCAACAUUCUCGUGUUUUGCAAUGUUUGAUGAAGCUAUUACCCGAGUUUGAAGGAAUUCAAUCCCAACUUAUCACUGCUAAUACAACUGAUAUCGACAAUAUCCUUGGUGAUUUGAGACUAAUUUGUUAACGCAAGCUAAACUUGAUGGUACAAAUUCUGAAGGGGGCUUAGUUUUUGUUGCUUCCCAAUAUCGGAACAAAGGACGCCCACAAUUUCAUCCUAGGUCAUCUGAGCAGCGUCUUUCUAAUGGAUUCCCAUCUGAUAUUCAGUGUCGUCACUACAGUGAGAAGGGUCAGGUUAUUUCUCACUGUAAGAAACGAAACUUCUGUAAUUAUUGCACAAAAUCUGGUCACAUUAUCUUGGGAUGUCCAGCUAAGCAACGUUGAUGUGAUGUAUUUUUAACACACCUUUUCUCGUUAUAAAUUAUAUUUUUGUGUGUCGAAAUGUAUUCAAAUUUGGGUUUUGAGUACAUGUUUGGUUCUCUUGCCCCCUCGGGGCCGUAUUAUGGUGUUUGGUAUGUUUUUGGUACAUUUUAGGUGUCAUAUGACGUUUAGAGAUAAACCAAGACAUGGCGGGGAGGCCGGAACAACUCAAAGCGUUUGACUUGGGAAGAAAGCGUCAUUGUAUAGUAUUUUAAGCAUAACUCAUCGCUGCGAAGUCCAAUUGAUGCAAGGUCAGCGGCGUUGGAAAGAUAAUUCGAUUGUCUACAACUUUGGUGUUAAUACUAUGGUCAAGUUCCGUAUAAUGAAGGAACACGCGGUGUUCCUCCUCUGAAAUUGCCUGAGAAAGUUACAGGGGCUGAACACGGCCGUGUCCCACCCCCAGACGGGUUUUCAAGUCCUUUUCCUUCUCCAACUUGGUCCAAAAGCCUAUAAAUAUCCCCGAGACCCCCGUGGACGAGAUAUACUUCAUUAUACACAUAUUUUUCGAGCUCUUGGAGAGAGCGAGGGUUCCACAUCAUUCAUUCUACACAUAUUUUCGAGCUAUUAGAGAGAGGGAGUGUCCCAUAGACCGAUUGAAGCGAUAGAUUAUCAUCGAUUGGCGAAGGAGCAAAGAUCAGCGACAGGAUUGAGAAUUCUUGACGGAUCAUGUUGUCUUUCCGGGUUGUUCUCAUUUCUUUUUCCCUUCUUACUUCCCGAACCAUGAGUAGCUAAACUUUCUGUGUUGUUCGGACGAGAUGAAGCUUUAGCUAAUGUUUUGUAUGGAUGAUUUGAUUUGUUAUUAAGGUAUAUUCAGACUUAUGAUGUGUUCUUCCUAAAACCUAAUUUCUGAUUCAAUUUUGUC
rnacentral:lncRNA from 1 species